rnacentral:rRNA from 1 species
GUCGAGAAUAAUUCACAAUGGGGGAAACCCUGAUGGUGCAACGCCGCGUGGAGGAUGAAGGUCUUCGGAUUGUAAACUCCUGUCAUCUGGGAGUAAGACCUGACGGUGAAUAGCCGGCAGGGUUGAUAGUACCAGAAGAGGAAGGGACGGCUAACUUCGUGCCAGCAGCCGCGGUAAUACGAAGGUCCCAAGCGUUGUUCGGAAUCACUGGGCGUAAAGGGAGCGUAGGCGGCGUGGUAAGUCAGAUGUGAAAUCCCGGGGCUCAACCCCGGAACUGCAUCCGAUACUGCCAUGCUUGAGGGUUGGAGAGGUAGCUGGAAUUCUCGGUGUAGCAGUGAAAUGCGUGGAUAUCGAGAGGAACACUCGUGGCGAAGGCGAGCUACUGGACAACAUCUGACGCUGAGGCUCGAAGGCUAGGGGAGCAAAAGGGAUUAGAAACCCGGGUAGUCC